AUAGCUAAAAUUUUCGUGUCAGGUUAUAUUAUAUAUUUGACGCAAUAGGGGUAUGGCGAGAAUGAGGUCAUUUGUCAUAGAUGACCAUCCUAUAGGGGGGUCAUUUGUCAUAGAUGAACCACGUAUAAGGGGGUCAUUCAUUAUAGAUGACCCCUAAAGGAUAGAUUAGUCUUUUAAUAUAUUUUGCUGUAUUUAACUUUUUUUUGCCGUAUACAACACACCCCCAAAAAAGAAUAAUAAUAACUAUAAUAUUAAAAUAAAAAAAUAAAAGUUUCAAGAAAACAGGAAAUUAGAAAAAAAGGAAACAAAAUCCCCAACUCAUACCUAAUUACUGCUGCUACAUAAUACUAUACACUUCGUACUUCGGCACCCACGAAGUCAAAACAAAAGAAAAAAAAACUCCUUGUUCAUCUUCUUCUUCAAUUCAUCAUUCUAUUUACUUGAUUCAACACCCUAAAUUCAUAAAUUUUGUUCAACUUUCAUCACAAUUCAACCUUCCUUCAUCUACCUUUGAAAUUACUUGAGUUUGUGGGUAAUUCAAAGAGGGAAAAUUCGGCUUUUCUAUUGAAUAUUUUGGGGCGAAAAUCGGAUCAAAAGGGCAAUUUUUUGGGUCUAUUUAUUGAGUAACUUUAUCUCCCUAUUAAAGUAAGUUCUAAACUCAAGUUUAGUUUCAAAUUCGUUUCUUUUAUUUAUCUAUUUCGAUUUUGGGUAUGUUGUUAAAUUAGGGUUCUUGAACAAUUGAAUUGAAGAAAUUAAAUGUGAAUUAUCGGAAAAUUCAGGGAUGUUACACACACUCUCUUUCUCUCCUCUCUCCUUUCUCCUAGCCUCCCAUCUUUUCAGAUCUAUAUGCACAGUCUCUCUCCUACAUUUCUAUCUAUUUUGUUAUGUAAAUCGUAUUUAUAUGUGGUUAUGACCUGCAUAAGGUAUGAUUUAAUUGUUUGUUGCAUUUCUAGUAAUGACGUUUAAUUCUUUGAUUGGGAAUUGUAUUAUAAUCUUUAUUUAAGUGGUCCUGUUACAAAUGCAUUUGAUUGCAGACUAGAGUUUAUAUGUGGUUUUACGAAUGCAUUCCAUUGCAGCAUUCUGGUCUUCUCAUUGACCCCGAAACCUGCAGUAAUAGAUGAAAGAGGUGACCAUAUUUAUAUAGGUACGACAGGUGGAGGCUGGCAUUUCUUUUAAUCUUUGAAGUGGUAUACUGGCUAUUGCUUGCUUCCUACAUCUAAAAUAUCUUACAGUGGUCUUCAAAUGCAAGGUUUCAUUGCCCUUGAUCACUUGGAAUUAUGUUGAGAAAGCAUACUUAAUCAUUUUUUUAUUGUUGUUUUUUUAUCUUGAACGAUUCCUGUAUUAUCACUUAGUCUUGAUUAGUAUUUUAUUUUUUUUUAUAGGGAGAUGUAUCAUAUUUUGAUGUAAAUGUAUAAUGUACUAGAGAAAAUGAAAUACAACUUGUAGUAUUGUGUUUGUAAUACAA